CAACUCGCCUGCACGAAGUCGGAAUUGCUAGUAAUCGUAGGUCAGCAUACUACGGUGAAUACGUUCCCGGGCCUUGUACACACCGCCCGUCAAACCAUGAGAGUUGGCAACACCCGAAGUCGGUAGUCUAACCGCAAGGAGGACGCCGCCGAAGGUGGGGUUGAUGAUUAGGGUUAAGUCGUAACAAGGUACC
rnacentral:rRNA from 1 species